rnacentral:lncRNA from 10 species
GGAGGCUUCUGGGAAGGUGCUGCCAGAUGGGGGCUCUGAAUGAGAGGGGAGCGGCCACCAUAUGCCGGAGAAGAGCUUCCCCACCGAUGCCCAGGCUGGGGGCCGGGUAGGCUGGGGCCCAGCAGAGCUGGGUGCAGCGAGUGAGGACAGGAGAAUGGAUAAUGGAGUCACGGCAGAUCGCGGAGGUGAAGGAACAAAACCUAGAUGACCAUCAAAGAUACAUAUUGAAGUCAGAGCCAAAGAAACGGGCUUUGCGGGCCACGCAUCGUGCGACGGCGCCAAUAGGAGGUAAAGGCCUCUAAGUGGG